rnacentral:rRNA from 1 species
GGCUUUGAAGCGUGGACGCCAGUCUGCGUGGAGCCAACCUUGAAAUACCACCCUUUAAUGUUUGAUGUUCUAACGUUGGCCCCUGACCGGGGUUGCGGACAGUGUCUGGUGGGUAGUUUGACUGGGGCGGUCUCCUCCCAAAGCGUAACGGAGGAGCACGAAGGUUAGCUAAUCCUGGUCGGACAUCAGGAGGUUAGUGCAAUGGCAUAAGCUAGCUUGACUGCGAGCGUGACGGCGCGAGCAGGUGCGAAAGCAGGUCAUAGUGAUCCGGUGGUUCUGAAUGGAAGGGCCAUCGCUCAACGGAUAAAAGGUACUCCGGGGAUAACAGGCUGAUACCGCCCAAGAGUUCAUAUCGACGGCGGUGUUUGGCACCUCGAUGUCGGCUCAUCACAUCCUGGGGCUGAAGUAGGUCCCAAGGGUAUGGCUGUUCGCCAUUUAAAGUGGUACGCGAGCUGGGUUUAGAACGUCGUGAGACAGUUCGGUCCCUAUCUGCCGUGGGCGCUGGAGAAUUGAGGGGGGCUGCUCCUAGUACGAGAGGACCGGAGUGGACGCAUCACUGGUGUUCGGGUUGUCAUGCCAAUGGCACUGCCCGGUAGCUAAAUGCGGAAGAGAUAAGUGCUGAAAGCAUCUAAGCACGAAACUUGCCCCGAGAUGAGUUCUCCCUGAGACUUUAAGUCUCCUGAAGGAACGUU